rnacentral:lncRNA from 1 species
AAAACCAUAGUGGGGAGUCCGGUGGUAGCAGGUACGCAGAAAGGAGCAUGUUGUCCUCUGAGAGGCUUUACCCAGCAACUAACUCAGACAGAUACAGGCACCCACAGUCAAACAGUGGAUGAAGCUUGGAGGCUCUUAUGGAAGAAUAGAAGGAAGGAUUUCUGGCCCCCUGAAGGAUAGGAGUUCCACAGGAAGACAGAGUCAAUUAAUCUUGUCCCAUGGAUUUCUGAGAGUCUGAACCACCAGACAAAGAACAUACAUGGGCUGGACCUAGGUCUCCCCUCGCAUAUGUAGCAGAUGGGCAGUUUGACCUUCGUGUGGGUCCUGAACAACUGGAGAGGGGCUAUCCCAAAAACUGUUGCCUGUAUAUAGGAUAUGGACUUCUAGCUGGGCUGCCUUGUCUGGCCUCAGUAGGAGAAGCAUCUAGCCUCACAGAAACUUAAACUGGUGGCAGGGGGUGGGGGUCGUAGCCAGGGGGCCCUACCCACUAAGAGGAGAAAGGGGGAUGAAGAAGGAUUGUGGGAAGGGGUGACCAGGAGAGUGGUAGUGAGCAGGAUGUAAAGUGAAUAAGUAAAAAAUAAAUAAAUAAAAAUGCUAGCCAG